rnacentral:rRNA from 1 species
GACGAACGCUGGCGGCGUGCCUAAUACAUGCAAGUAGAACGCACAGUUUAUACCGUAGCUUGCUACACCAUAAACUGUGAGUUGCGGACGGGUGAGUAACGCGUAGGUAACCUGCCUGGUAGCGGGGGAUAACUAUUGGAAACGAUAGCUAAUACCGCAUAAUAUUGAUUAUUGCAUGAUAAUUGAUUGAAAGAUGCUAUUGCAUCACUACCAGAUGGACCUGCGUUGUAUUAGCUAGUAGGUGAGGUAACGGCUCACCUAGGCGACGAUACAUAGCCGACCUGCGAGGGUGAUCGGCCACACUGGGACUGGGACACGGCCCAGACUCCUACGGGAGGCAGCAGUAGGGAAUCUUCGGCAAUGGACGAAAGUCUGACCGAGCAACGCCGCGUGAGUGAAGAAGGUUUUCGGAUCGUAAAGCUCUGUUGUAAGAGAAGAACGGGUGUGAGAGUGGAAAGUUCACACUGUGACGGUAUCUUACCAGAAAGGGACGGCUAACUACGUG